UAUUGUGUGGACCAGUGGGGCCACACCCACACCUAUGGGAAUGUGUGGUGGUGGUGGUGGUGGGCAGUGUGCUUCUUUCAUUUCCUUUUUUUCUCGCCUGUUGCCUCUUUCCGACCCUGGCCUGACUUUCCAGCCUUUGCUCCUCGGCACAGCCAGAUGAAGCACGCCUCCAGUGAGAACCGGUCUCCCGAGGGUGUCAUCAAGGCUCUCCAUCUCCAGCAGGACAUGGCGGGGUCAAGAUAGCAGACAAGCAAGGAAGACGUUGGUGUGUGUUGGAUGCCUGCGUGACUCCAUGCUACGCUGGCCUGCCACACCACAGGAUACAUUGAUGAUAGUGUCACCUCAGCACACACUACACUGUUGUCAUGUGUGGCAGUGCCUGUAAGGACAGCACACCCCUCCACCAACACCACUGCUGUGUGUGGGUAUGUCUAUAUAUAACAUCCCAUCCCAUAUUUGAUGGCAUAUAGGAUGCACAUGUGCAUGUAAGAUCUAUCCCCGUUUGAGCGGGUGGAAUUCAGGUUUAGCAUAUAUUGUUACAAUACAUGUCAUCAAGUUCUGCCAGUGUGGGGUGUGGUGGCUCUCUCUCUCUCUCUCUUUCUCUCUCUCUCUCUCUCUCUCUCUCUCUCUCUUCUGAGAAUAUAAGAAUGUGAAAAUUAGGGAAAUGAAAAUAAGGGAAGCUGCCUUUAAAGGACCUAUUUCUUCCUUAGUUUUCCUCUUGUGUUAGUUGUGUACAUGAUUAGUCUUUACCUGGCUGGCUGCCUUCAACUCAUAAUUGCUUGUAACUUUCCUCAUUAACCUCUUUCAAUUGUUCUUUAUACUGUGGCCUUAAAACCUCAUCUCCUGUCUCUAAUCUCUUGAAUUAAUCUAUAUGUACGUAAUUCUCUUUUGUCCUAUUUAUGUAUCUGUCACCAUGCACUUCCUUUGUGAUCGUACUGUUCUCUAUGGGAUGUUAGCUACCUUGCCUGUAUGUCAUUUACAGUGUUAGUACACCUCACCAGCAUUUAUCCACUGUAAUCCCCCUACCUCCCCUUCUCAAUCUCCACCCUCACUAUGACCUCACUUAGCAUUCUCUCACCCUCAGUCCAUUUUUCUCCUCUUCUCCCUGUUCUUAGCUCUGACCCAGCCUUCUCUCCCUCACCUCCAUUCUGGGCCCUCACCUCACCCUCCUUCCCUGCCCCUUGCCUUGACCCUGAUCUUGAUGUCACAGGUGGCUCAGGAUCACUCCACUGCCAGGCCUUUGGAUCAGCAACUACUGUACAGAACAUAGAAAUUGGAAAAAGGAAGGCAGUAUUCUGUUCACUAGUUAUCCGUACGUCUUGCAUGCCCUGAUUUCUCGACAAACACAGCCUCAAUCAUCCUUCCACUUGUCCCUUUACACUGUCCCAGCAGCAACACCAUCCAUUCCCAUCCUGUCUUCUACUCUUUCAUCCCUAUUAUGCCCAAAUUCAGUCAUUCACUUGCAUCCUCUCCCCCAUGUCACACAUCCGGCACACCUUACUAUGGGAUUCAGACCACCUGUAGUUCCCUGCAUUCACAUCCAUACACUGUGCCAUGGCUCAGAAGAGAAGAUCCCAGGCUGCCAUCAUACCACCCCUCAAACAUUGGGGCCUCCUUUUCCUUGUACCUUAUUCCAGAGUACCAAUUCUUUUUAAACCAUUUCAUUCUUCUACUUUUUUGUGUGUGGAGGUGUUGCCACAAGCCUCCUCCUAAACCUCGCCACCCAGUUGCACACUGAGACACUGACACCAAGUAACUGAAAUUUAUUUAGUUUGGUGUCCUGCUUUCUUCUAUCCAGCAAUCUAGGCAACAGUUUCUUGCAUCAAGUGCUUAUUAUGUAUCCAUGACUGGGUCACAGGGUGUGGCAAUGUCAAGACACCUGGGUGGGUGAAAAUGCAGUGUAUGUCAGGAAGAAUCACUAAAAUCCACCUCACACACUGUGCCACAUGUGCAACUGAGGAGACAGAAAUGGUAUGUGGGGAUUUCAGACUAAGCUCUGCCCACUCCCAGAGACAUAUUCUUUUGUCUUGCUAAAUUCAUAUUAUACAUGAGAGCGAUUCUUUCGUCAUAAAAGUACACUGCUUUCAUGAGGGUGGCUUACUCUUACAACAAGCAUUGUACAUCCCUGCCUAACUUCUCUCUCACUCUUCACCCAGUCUGUAUUUAGCUCUGGUGUCAACAUACAUGCUACACACUAUGUUGAUUAUCUUUGCACUCAGCCCAGUCUUUCCAAAGUCUCUGCCUAACUUUUUUCUGUCCACCUUGUAGGCUUUCUCUAUUCUUAGAAAAAAACCUAAAUAUAGUUUAUCUCCCUCCUUUUUUUUUCCUGUCAAUCAUUUCAUUCACCACAAACAUGUUACUGUCAGCUCUCCUGUCCACACUGAAACCAUUCUCCAAUUCGUUCAAACCAUUUUACACAGCCUCUUUCAACACUGCACUGAACACUUUACCUAAUGUAUUUACUAAUGCAAUCAGCCCAUAAUUCUACAACUCAUUCUUACUCUUGUAUCCUUCCUUAUGCAACAGAGUCAUCCUACAAUCAUUCCACAUUCUUGGCACUCUCUUCUCCCAAACCUGGUUAACCCCUUCAGUAGCAUGAUGCAUUUUUAUAUUAAUUCUGGUUACUAUUUGGUGGUUUUAUACAGUUUCAGAAACUUAUGUGGGGAUUAAAAAUAGUGAAGACUUUAGCCAUUAAUGUUCUGACUUCCAUAGACCCUUCCUAAUGUCAAUAAAAUAGUCUCGUCAUACACAAAAGGUAAAAAAUGCAUCCCAGUAUUGAAGGUGUUAAAUACUUCUAUGUCAUCCUGUCAGUCAACCUCCCCACUAUUUUUAUUCAUCUCAAACAAUAUCUCAUCUGGCCCUGCUGUUUUCCCAUUCUGAGUUUUCACACAUCUCUCCACCUUCUCCCUGCUGAUUCUCAUUCAUUUUAUCUGCAUUCAUUCUCUCCAUUGUCACACAUCCUGCUCUCACACCACCACCUAUAUCUUCUCAGAACUGUCUGAUUGCCUUCCUGAUUCCUUCCUUCUGUAUUAUAACUUCACACAGACACCUUCCACCUUCCUGCCCUCCUACAAAUAAAACUUCAUUUUGUACUUACUUUCACUGUGAUUGUUCUAACCUAGCUCACCACCACCAACAUGUACCUGGGUAAGUGCUUCCUCCCUAGUGGUCACAAUUAAGUCUACAAUACUGUCGCCCUGGGUGGAUUGUAAUAUUAUCCACGUUUUUUAAAAUUAUCUCAUCCUAACUACCACUGCCUCUCUCUCUCUCUCUCUCUCUCUCUCUCUCUCUCUCUCUCUCUCUCUCUCUCUCUCUCUCUCUCUCUCUCUCUCUCUCUCUCUCUCUCUCUCUCUCAUUCUAAAAUUCUCUGCUCUGACCACAAUGGUUUUUCAAGGCCACAGAGAUGAAUAGCAGGAUUUUCAAUUGGUGUUUCUCCAGUUAAUAAUGCAGAAAUCUUGUUACUCUGCCUCUAGAACUGUAAAGACACCUUAAAAACUUGUGUAAAUUUAGAUAAAGCCUUUUGAAAUAGUGGAGGAAAAGCACAGAAGUGUUUGAGAAUACCAACCUUUGUGUAAGAUACCUCUCUCUACCAGCCCUUCUUGUCCACUGCAUGACAGCAUUCACUACAGCAGCAGUCAUAGUGGUGGUGGCAGCAUCUCACCACCAGCUGUGUUAUAAAGCCACCAACAGUUCAGUGGUAGUGUUUGAGAUGUGAGUUUCCUUAGUCAGUUGUGAUUUGUAGUGCCUUGGUGGUUGCAAUAGUGGUGUAGUGUCAUCACCAGUGCCCCAUCAGGAUUGGAUCGCCACAUGUAUGGUUUAGAAAUGGAUCUUCGUUCAGUGGUGGUGGUGGUUGUGGUCAGACUCGGCCAUAUUAAAAAACAACUUGGUCUCACUACCACAAUUUCCCAAGGCCAAAGAGACAACUAGCUGGAUUUUUGAGACAGUUUCUCUAUGAUAAACCAGGAGUGUUGCCAAUCCAUCACCAGAACCAUAAAAAUGCUCUUUAUAAAAACAUGAUAAUCUUCAAUUAGAGACUUUGGAAAGCAGUGAUAGUAAGAGCAAAGCAUUUAAAGGUACAGCCCUAUUUUUCUUCAUCAAAGUUGUCAAUGAAAAAAAAAAAAAAAAAAAAAAGAAAUCUUGUUAAUAAAAAUGAAAUAAGCUUUAUUUGAUUUUUUUUUCUUUCAAUUUCUUUACUUACAAAUGAAAAAAUAGAAUAUAAAACUAAAGUGAAAACUGAAAAUAAGAAAUAAACUUCAUUUCUUUACUAAUAAAAAGCAAAAAUUUACAAUGCAACAAAGUACAUUAAUGUUUGUGGACACUUCCUCCAAUAAAUAUACAAUAAAGCAGCACGUUUGAA